GUUCUCUAGUAUGCUACUGGCUUGUGUGUGUGUAUAUAUUUUGGGGGAAAAUAAAUUAUAAAAGUUUAAAAACGAAUACUUAGUCUAAUUCUUAACUACAUAAAUUUCCACCUAAAAUCCAACUUGUUUUAUUUACUGGUUUAAAUUUUCAUGUUUGUCACACCCCCCUAAAUCGUGAACACGGACUAACAAGAAAAUAAAAUAGAGAUUGUAUUGAUGCGAAAUUGUGGUAAAUUUUCUAAUUGUAUUGUCUAUGUAUUAAUCAAUAUAUACACAAAAGUUUCCUAGAAAAUAUUCAGCUCACCAAAACCUGUAAAGAAUCUAUAAAAUUUGAGGAAUAUAAAUUUGGUGCUAAUAGAAUGGUGACUUACCAUAACUAAUAACUUCUAGAAUGUGUAGAUAAUAACGUACAAAGAAAAGAAAUAAAAGAUAAAAACAAUAGAAAAAAUCAAGUUUGUUGAACUUUGUUGUUAGGCUGAUCAGGAUUGUUUGCUCCACUAUUUUGGGCUAUUUGCUGUUUAUGCUUCAAUAUGUUCUUGCAAACUGGUGGAUGAAAGUCUUAACGACAGCUCAACUUUUUUGGUACUAAAAUAUCACAAAUAUAAAUAUUCAUGGCUUCUGUUUGUGCUAUAUAUAAUUUAAAUAAUCAUGAUCUCCCAACUCUGUUUAUAUAUUUUUUAAAAAUUUAUAUAAUUUUACUUUGGCUUGCUCCUCCAAACUAAGUUUAUUUAUUUUUGUUGAAGGCACGAGAAACAGUUGCCACAACUCGGGUUGAGCAAGAAAUCAUAGGGUGAUGAAGUUGAGAUUUUGAGUCUAAUGCAAGGUGUCCCCUUAAAGCAACAGUUAAUCAAGAAUUUACAAUUAUAUUAUACAGAGACAGGAACUAUAAUUCCAAACACUGGCCUGUAAUUUUCUCAUGCUGUGGAAACCAUAUGAACCUAUCUAUCCUAGAUUGAUUAAAACAACAAUUGAGGGCCUGAGUAUCAAGGAAACCAAAGAGAUGAGGAAGAGAGGACUUGCCGUGUUAACCCAAAACUUGGUAUGCUUGCUCCAUUCUCAAAAAAUUUUACAAUCUAUACACAUAAAAAAUAUUAGAAUAAAUACCGUUCUGGGAAACUUUGUCCUAACAUUAUUUUUGAGUUCUUUAUUUUGGCAAAGUUUAUUAAGUAAUAAUCACAAGGUGAAGCUCCGGUCUCACCUAUAUUUAUAACGAAAGUUGCCUCCCAUGUGAGACAAGCUGCUGAACUUCAAUUUCUGGUGCUGAAAAUGUUAGAAGAACAAGUCUCCUUUUUUUUCAAUGUCCAAAAACAUUUAGUAGAAAAUAAAUAUAGUCAUAUUUGUAGAUUAAUAAGUGGUGUAUGUAUGAAUAAAGGUCUAACUCAGAAUGAUUCUUUUUUUUUUAAUUUAAUUUUUAGUUUUUAUUUUGGGUGUUAUAUAUAUAUAUAUAUCAGUUAAUGACUUAAUGUAAAAGAUUAUAACCUUCAUAUGAUGAUAGGAAAAGAUCAAUUAGAAAAAGGCACAAAAGUAGAUUAUGGUUCAUAGAAGGUAGAUGAUAACAAAAUGGAGAAAGUAAAACAUGCUGCAACAGCAGCAAAAGAAAAAUUCAAUCAAAUAAGGAAGAUGACGAAAUUUGAGAAUUGGCUUCUUCAUUAAUAAAAAAGCAGCCAGUCUCUUAACACAUAAGGCAAUAUGAUAGGAAAAGAUCAAUUAGAAAAAGGCACAAAAGUAGAUUAUGGUUCAUAGAAGGUAGAUGAUAACAAAAUGGAGAAAGUAAAACAUGCUGCAGCAGCAGCAAAAGAAAAAUUCAAUCAAAUGAGGAAGAUGACGAAAUUUGAGAACUGGCUUCUUCAUUAAUAGAAAAGCAGGUAGUCUCUUAACACAUAAGGCAAUUUCUUACUGUUAAGCCUAGUUUGAUUUUGGGUAAAUUUAUGAUGACAAAUAUUUAUUUGGGUUGAAAGCCCAAUAUUGUUUAAUGUGUGCUUUAUUGUGGCAGGUCCAUUAAUUAGUUUUUUCACAGCCCAAGGCUAGCAUAUACUUCAGCCAUGUAAAAGAGCCAAUGCUCCUCAUAGCUCCGUUCAGCAAAAUAAAUGGAUAUGUAUUUGCUAAAAGCAAAUGAGUACAGCUAUAUCAUGCAAGGACAGGUGUGGCUCUGUAAAAGCAAGAAAGGACACUAGGACACCCACUAACCCAAGAACAUCAGCUGAGUAAUACUUGGAUCGUGGUUAAGCAAAACACCAACUUGCAUAGAGCAGUAGCAGCAAGAAAAUGGAGCAGAAUGAAAAAAAAAAGAAGAGCAUGCCAAGGAAGGAAGAAAAACAAAGGACAACAGAGGUAGUGGUCGAGCUCCUCGGAUAGCAGAGGUGGUGGAGCGGGAUGAAGAAAGCACUGCAUGCCAGCAGGGACAGCUCCAACGAGCAGCUGGUACAAGGAAAUGGAACUCGAGUUGCCCAAAGGCUUGCUGGGCGCAAUGCCAGCAAGAUGCACGUUGCCUUGCCAUCCCCUAGGCACACUAGCAAGCACGUUGUGGUUGUGGUGU